rnacentral:rRNA from 1 species
GGGAUUGCCCUAGUAACGGCGAGUGAAGCGGCAACAGCUCAAAUUUGAAAUCUGGCGUAAGCCCGAGUUGUAAUUUGUAGAGGAUGCUUCUGGGUAGCGACCGAUCUAAGUUCCUUGGAACAGGACGUCAUAGAGGGUGAGAAUCCCGUAUGUGACCGGCCCGCACCCUUUACGUAGCUCCUUCGACGAGUCGAGUUGUUUGGGAAUGCAGCUCUAAAUGGGAGGUAAAUUUCUUCUAAAGCUAAAUACCGGCCAGAGACCGAUAGCGCACAAGUAGAGUGAUCGAAAGAUGAAAAGUACUUUGGAAAGAGAGUUAAAAAGCACGUGAAAUUGUUGAAAGGGAAGCGCCUACAACCAGACUUCGUGGCAGUGUUCCGCCGGUCUUCUGACCGGUUUAUUCUCUGUCGCGAGGCCAUCAUCGUCUAGGCCCGCCGGAUAAGACCUUAGGAAUGUAGCUCACCUUCGGGGGAGUGUUAUAGCUUGUGGUGAUGCGGCGAGGCUUGGGCGAGGUCCGCGCUUCGGCAAGGAUGAUGGCGUAAUGGUUGUCGGCGGCCCGUCUUGAAACACGGACCAAGGAGUCUAACAUCUAUGCGAGUGUUCGGGUGUCAAACCCCUACGCGUAAUGAAAGUGAACGGAGGUGGGAACCGCAAGGUGCACCAUCGACCGAUCCUGAUGUCCUCGGAUGGAUUUGAGUAAGAGCAUAGCUGUUGGGACCCGAAAGAUGGUGAACUAUGCCUGAAUAGGGUGAAGCCAGAGGAAACUCUGGUGGAGGCUCGCAGCGGUUCUGACGUGCAAAUCGAUCGUCAAAUUUGGGUAUAGGGGCG